ensembl:lncRNA
GACGGAUACGGCUGUGUUCAUGAGUGUGAAGAUCACACAUGUGUCAUUCCCGAGGAAGAAUGAUGCCUCGCCUUCGGCCACAAGAUCUUGCACCUGAAAGAUAUAAAACCGCACCCAGUUUUACUAAGAAUAAAAGCUCCCUAACUAGACAGCAAUAUACAGGUAGAUGCGCCCCAGACUCAAGGACUGUUUGAAAAGGAAGCAGCAGUAUUUUGAGACAUCUCAUUUUGGCCAAGCGUCUCACACUCGUGACUCACCGUUUCCCGCCUCCCUCGACAAGACAGAAAUUACCCUCAAACUGAUUCUACGAUCAAUAACAACAUGCCCACCAAUCAAGAGCACCGACCCGGGGUUAAGAUCCAAUCAGCAGCUCACACUCCUCCUGCUUCAAGAGUCUGAGCAGACGCAAACAAACAAGACGUUUACAGGUCUGAGGAGAGACACACAAACCAGACGUUAUUCAUAGAAACACGAACAAAGAUUUGAAAUAAAUAUGAUUCUGAGAUGUAUUCUUUGUUAUGA